GGAGCCAUGGCUCAAUGGUAGAGCAACUGUUUGGCAGGACAAAGACUCCAGGUUCAGUCCCUGGCAUCUCCA
rnacentral:tRNA from 1 species